rnacentral:rRNA from 1 species
GAUGAACGCUAGCGGCAGGCUUAAUACAUGCAAGUCGAGGGACAGCACAGGUAGCAAUACUGGGUGGUAACCGGCAAACGGGUGCGGAACACGUACACAACCUUCCUUUAAGUGGGGGAUAGCCCAGAGAAAUUUGGAUUAAUACCCCGUAAUAUAGUUGAAUGGCAUCAUUUGAUUAUUAUAGCUACGGCGCUUAAUGAUGGGUGUGCGGCUGAUUAGAUAGUUGGCGGGGUAACGGCCCACCGAGUCUACGAUCAGUAGCUGGUGUGAGAGCAUGAUCAGCCACACGGGCACUGAGACACGGGCCCGACUCCUACGGGAGGCAGCAGUAAGGAAUAUUGGUCAAUGGACGCAAGUCUGAACCAGCCAUGCCGCGUGAAGGAUUAAGGUCCUCUGGAUUGUAAACUUCUUUUAUUUGGGACGAAAAAGGGCCUUUCUAGGUCAACUGACGGUACCAGAUGAAUAAGCACCGGCUAACUCCGUGCCAGCAGCCGCAGUAACAC